rnacentral:rRNA from 1 species
UACGUAGGGUGCAAGCGUUGUCCGGAAUUAUUGGGCGUAAAGAGCUCGUAGGCGGCUUGUCACGUCGGCUGUGAAAACCUGGGGCUCAACCCCGGGCCUGCAGCCGAUACGGGCAGCUAGAAUUCGGUAGGGGAGACUGGAAUUCCUGGUGUAGCGGUGAAAUGCGCAGAUAUCAGGAGGAACACCGGUGGCGAAGGCGGGUCUCUGGGCCGAUAUUGACGCUGAGGAGCGAAAGCGUGGGGAGCGAACAGG